CCUACGGGGCGCAGCAGUGAGGAAUAUUGGUCAAUGGACGCAAGUCUGAACCAGCCAUGCCGCGUGCAGGAAGACGGCUCUAUGAGUUGUACACUGCUUUUGUACGAGGGUAAACGCAGAUACGCGUAUCUUUCUGACAGUAUCGUACGAAUAAGGAUCGGCUAACCCCGUUCCAGCAGCCGCGGUAAUACGGAGGAGUCAAGCGUUAUCCGGAUUUAUUGGGUUUAAAGGGUGCGUAGGCGGUCGGAUAAGUUAGAGGUGAAAUCCCGAGGCUCAACUUCGGAAUUGCCUCGGAUACUGUUCGGCUAGAGAGUAGUUGAGGUAGGUGGAAUGUAUGGUGUAGCGGUGAAAUGCUUAGAGAUAAUAAAGAACACCGAUUGCGAAGGCAGCUUACCGAGCUACUUCUGACGUUGAGGCACGAAAGCGUGGGGAGCAAACAGGAUUAGAUACCCGAGUAGUC
rnacentral:rRNA from 1 species